CAGUAAGCGGAGGAAAAGACACUAACAAGGAUUCCCCCAGUAGCGGCGAGCGAACAGGGAAGAGUCCAGCACCGAACCUCGUGCUCGUCAUCGGGUACCGAGGAAUGUGGUGUUUGGGAAGGCCGUGCGCGUCUGUCCGGUUUCGUCCAAGUCCUUAUGAACAAGGCCCUUACCCACAGAGGGUGUUAGGCCCGUAGGCUGGCGUGCCGCGACCGUGUAUUGGGUCUUUUCCCCAGAGUCGGGUUGCUUGAGCGUGCAGCCCUAAGCGGGAGGUAAACUCCUUCUAAGACUAAAUAUUGCCACGAGACCGAUAGCGAACAAGUACCGCGAGGGAAAGUUGAAAAGAACUUUGAAGAGAGAGUUCAAGAGUGCGUGAAACCGUUUAUGGGGUUAAACGGGUGGGCCCUCGAAGGUCGAAACGCGUCCCCGCUCUAGUGUGUCGUACGGUUGGACUUUUGACGCGGCGAUCUUUAAUCGGACGCUCGUGACGAGAGGUUCCCGGCCUGCGACUGCUUUUAGUGGGGGGCCUAGUAGGACUCCGCGACCGACUGGGUGUGCUGUUAUAAGGGGUGCCGGCGUCUCUUCUGUGUUCGAUUUCGGUCGGAUCGGUUGAGUACGGUGCUUUUUUGCCGAACAGUCCUGCCCGGUCGUGACCUGUCUUCUGCGGCGCGUGCUCGCACGUCGUCUGCGGACCCAGAGCGGAGAGUAGAUGUCGGGUCCCACCCGACCCGUCUUGAAACACGGACCAAGGAGUCUAACAUGUAAGCGAGUCGUCGAGUCGUUUAUGAAACUUGAGAGGCGCAAUGAAAGUAAAGCAGCCCCGAUGAGGGUGUUCUGCGAGGGAUGAUCCCGUCUUUUUUUUAAACCGAAGCGGGCGCAGUCCCAGGGCGUGCGAAGCCGCGACCUUGAGUCGGCCGUACGAACCCAGAGCUUACACGUUGGGACCCGAAAGAUGGUGACCUAUGCCUGGCCAGGACGAAGCCAGGGGAAACCCUGGUGGAGGUCCGCAGCGAUUCUGACGUGCAAAUCGAUCGUCGGAGUUGGGUAUAGGGGCGAAAGACUAAUCGAACCAUCUAGUAGCUGGUUCCCCCCGAAGUUUCCCUCAGGAUAGCUGGUGCUCGCAGAGUAGACGAACGGAGUUUCAUCCGGUAAAGCGAAUGAUUAGAGGCCUUGGGGUCGAAACGACCUCAACCUAUUCUCAAACUUUCAAUGGGUGAGAAGCCCGGCCUCUUUUAAAAUUUUUGAUAAGGCCGGGCAUUACGAAUCUGAGCGCCCAGUGGGCCAUUUUUGGUAAGCAGAACUGGCGCUGUGGGAUGAACCAAACGCCCGGUUAAGGCGCCUAAACAACGCACAUUUCGGAUCCCACGAAAAGGAGUUGGUUGCUAAAGACAGCAGGACGGUGGCCAUGGAGGUCGGAAUCCGCUCAGGAGUGUGUAACAACUCACCUGCCGAAGCAACUAGCCCUUAAAAUGGGAGGCGCUAUAGCGUUGUGCCUAUACCGGGCCGCCGGCCGGCAGUGAAACGUACUUUUCUCGAAGAGAGAUGUAAGACGCUGAGGCCCCGGCGAGUAGGGGGGUCGCGACGGUGCGCGUUGAAGGGUUGUGGGCGUGAGCCUGCCUGGAGCCGCCGUCGGUGCAGAUCUUGGUGGUAGUAGCAAAUACUCCAGAGGGAUCCUGGAGGACUGACGCGGAGAAGGGUUUCAUGUGAACAGUGGUUGGACAUGAGUCAGUCGAUCCUAAGCCGCAGGAGAAAUCCGUCUCAGUUAACGGCGUGUAUUAUAUUCUAAAGUCUGGGCUUUUCGGAGCUCUUUCUUUGAUGUUUUACAAACGAAGCGCCGCUGGGUUAAGGCGAAAGGGAAUCCGGUUCUAAUUCCGGAACCAAGCUGCGGCUACGUCCGUACAAACGAUUAACUCGAUUAUAUGGUCGCGGUAACGCGAAACAAGCCAGAGAAGCUGCCGAGAGCCCCGGGAAGAGUUUUCUUUUCUGCUUGAGGGACCGAGACCCUGGAAUUCCGUCGUGGAGCGAGAGGGUUUUGGAUACACGCUGGUAAAAAGGCGAUCCCGAAGAGCGUCGCGUUUCUGCGGCGUCCGUGGUCGCUCUCGGCUGGCCCUUGAAAAUCUGGUGGGAGGGUUACGUUUUUGGAUGCUCGCGCUUGCUCGUACCGAUUCCGCAUCAGGUCUCCUAG
rnacentral:rRNA from 1 species